GAAAAAGAAUUUAUUUAGUAUAAAAGAUUGAUUUUUUUUAUGAAAAUUAUUUUAGUUUUUAUUAUUAAUUAAUAGAAAUAGGUUAAUUUAUUAUAGUUUAAAGUAUUGUGAAAGGAGCUUAGUAAUUAAUAAUAAGAAAAUUUAAUUUAUUGUACCUUGUGUAUCAGGGUUUAUUAAUUGAAAAAAGAAUUUUUUUUUCUCGAAAUAAAAAGAGCUAUUAAAUUAAAAUUUUUAUUGUAGAAUAAAUAUUUUAAAUAAUUUAUUAGAAAUGAAAUGUUAGGCGUUUUUUAUUAUAUCUAGUUUUUUUAGAAAUGAAUUUAAUUCAAGUUUAAAUAAAUAUUAGUAUGUUUAAUAAUAAUAAUAUUUUUUAUUUUAAAUAAUUAAAGGGAUAAUCUUUUAAUUAAAAUUUAAGAAUUAGGAGAAAUGGGGAUAUUAAAUAGGAUUAGAAUUUUUUAUUUUUAAUAGUAUGUUAUUAUUAACUAUCUUAAAUCAAAUAUUUUUUUUUGUAUUUUAAUUUUUUAUUAAAAAGUUAUUUUUAAUAUUUUAAAUUAGGUUUUAAUGAUAAAAUUAGUAUAUAUUAAUUAAAAUAGUUAAAUAUAGUUAAAUGAAAACUAAGGAACUAGGCAAAUGGAUUUUCCACCUGUUUAUUAAAAACAUGUCUUUUAGUAUUAAAUUUAAAGUCGUGUCUGCCCAAUGAUUAAAUUUAAUGGCCGCAGUAAUUUGACUGUGCAAAGGUAGCAUAAUCAUUAGUUUUUUAAAUAAAAGCUGGAAUGAAGGAUUUGAUGAGAAAAUAGCUGUCUCAGUUUUAAUAUAAAAUUUUAUUUUUGAGUUAAAAAGCUUAAAUAAUCCAAAAAGACGAGAAGACCCCAUAGAGUUUAAUAAGAUUAUUUGGAUUAGGUUAAGUAUUUUAAUUUUGAGGUUUUAUUUGAUUGGGGUGAUUGAAAAAUUUAAUUAACUUUUAUUUUUUUUUUACAUUAAUUGAUGGAUAGUUGAUCCUUUUAAAAGAUUAUAAGAUAAAAUUACCUUGGGGAUAACAGCGUAAUUUUUUUUGAGAGUUCAAAUCGAAAAAAGAGUUUGCGACCUCGAUGUUGGAUUAAAAUUAAAUUUUGGUGGAGGGAUUAAAAUAUUAAGUCUGUUCGACUUUUUAAAUUUUACAUGAUCUGAGUUUAAACCGGUUUGAGCCAGGUUGGUUUCUAUCUUUUGAUGAGUGGGAUUUUUUAGUACGAAAGGACCAAGAAUUAGUAAAUUUUAUUAUAAAUUGAGUUAAUA
rnacentral:rRNA from 1 species